CUCAACCCUCUCUCUCACCACGAAAAAUUUGAUCUCCCAAGAUGAAACCUUAGAACCAGGACAAAAUGUAAGCAGAGGUUAAUAGUUAAGGUGCAAAACUGUCUUGAAUAGGAGGAACAUUACUCAGCCCUAGACAUUUAGCAGCACUGAUUCUGGUUUUUGCUUUGGAGGUGCUGAGAAUGGAACCCAGGGCCAUGGACAUGAUAGCUAAGCAUUCCAGCACACAGCAACACCACCAGCUCAGUGCUGCUGUCUUUAAGACUCAUGUGGAAUUGUUAGACUUAAUGUGUCAGUAAUCUGAUUUUCAUUUCAAACCUAAUUUGUUUGCAUGCAGAGAGAUCCAUGCAUGAGUAGAAGUAUACUUUAGACGUUGAUAUCAUACUACUGAGAAAAUGAAAGAUCUGUGGGGCUAAUGAUUGUUUUAGUGUUACGUUGGUAAUAUUAUGAGUGAAUUACAUAGAUAUGUAUGAUAAAUUAAUUAUAUUUCAUAGUAAAAAUAUUUAAAUAUGUAAAACAUUAACAAAUACCAAACUGCUAAAUAUAUGCUUGUAUUAAAGUAGGAUUUGCUAUAGACUAGACUAUCCACCAAGAGAAAUCAAGAGAAGUUCUAUAUUUAGGAUAAACAAGCCAUACUCUGAAUUGCUGUUUGUGUUCUCUUAACAACAGCAACAAUAUGAAGAAAUAAAGACUUUAAGCAACUACUGUAAGGCUGGACAUGAGUCCUGGUGCAUUCCUCUCUUAGAGAAGUUCCUAAGGCAUAAUGGAAAACAUUAUGAAAUUUUUUCAAAAACUUGAAAGAACUGCCAUAUAAUUGAUCUAGCAACCCCC
rnacentral:lncRNA from 1 species